UAAUCUGCUUUUAUUUUGCUUUCCAGGAAUCUACAAGCCGCCAUUGGAGCCUACUAUGAUUUUGAGAGUCCAAAUAUCAAUGUACCCUCCAUGUCCUUUGUUGAAGAUGUCACCAUAGGCGAAGGAGAGUCCAUCCCUCCUGAUACCCAGUUUACAAAAACAUGGAGGAUACAAAACACAGGGACGGAGGCUUGGCCCCCGGGGGUUUGUCUGAAGUACGUCGGGGGAGACCAAUUUGGCCACGUCAACAUGGUGAUGGUCAGGUCCCUGGAGCCCCAGGAGAUCGCGGACGUCAGCGUUCAGAUGUGCAGCCCCAGCACAGCAGGGAUGUAUCAGGGACAGUGGCGGAUGUGCACGGCCACGGGACUCUAUUACGGAGAUGUCAUCUGGGUGAUCCUCAGCGUGGAAGUUGGAGGACUUCUAGGUGUAACACAGCAGCUGUCAUCCUUUGAAACAGAGUUCAACACGCAGCCGCAUCGCAAGGUAGAAGGAAACUUUAACCCAUUCGCCUCUCCACAGAAGAACAGGCAACCAGAUGAAAACAACCUAAAAGACCCUGGGGGUUCCGAGCUAGGCACAAUCAGCAAAAACACAUGGGGGCCUGCUCCUGACCAAAUCGAACAAGAUCAGAAUGGACUGUCACAAAACUCUGUAAAUCUCUCCCCCAGCAGUCACUCGAACAACUUGUCGGUAGUGACAUACAGUAAGGUAGGUGCCCUGGGAGAACAGGAGAAUGGGUAGGUGAUGAGACCCCUCUAUGUAAUAGUUCUUCGUUACAAACUGCAAAAGCCCUUCCCUUCUGCUUCUGCCAGACCUGCUAAGGAAGGUUUUGAAUUUGACUGUCUGACUCUGCCAACUCCUCGUGUUAUAUCAAAAUACUUUUGCCUCUGAUAGACUUUACCAGAUCCACCUUUUUGGUUUUUUGGGUUUUUUGGUUGUUUUUUUUUUUUUGCUUCAAGUCCUUCUUAAAAUUUAUAUAAUCUUGUCUGGGUGCUGUAACUAUUAGUGGCUGGAGCCUGCUCCGGUUGCGUGUGCAAAUAAGUCAAAAUAUCUCUCUAGAUGUGCUCCUGAGUUUUACAUAAUUUUGAAAAGAGUAGAAAAAAUAAUCACACCCCCAAACCCUAAAAUUAACCAGAUAACUUCUUUUUAGCUGGUGUGGGGAGACUACAGAGCUCAACAUUUUGAUCCCAGAAGCUACCUGUCAGGAACAGUCAAUCGAAGGACUAUUCCUGUCUGUGUCCUUGUCUUGUUUAUAAUUGGUUUCCACGGUCCUUAUCCCUUCGGACAGUCUUAAAACACACAAAAAACCACAAAACGGGUAUCAACAAGCGGAGGAUUUAACAAAGAACUGACUUUUGGGGGAAGGGAGGGGGAUUCAUGUGGCAGACACAACGUGGACCCCCCCCUUCUCUGCCUCUGGGUUCUGGAUAAAGAAGAAAAUACAAAAGCCCAGUAACUUAAACUUAGCUGUUUCCAGAGGAAGAUUCAAAAUCUAAGUAUGCAUGUGUGAAUGCUGGAUUUCAGGAGUGUUGUUAAAUGCUAUGAGAGAAAAUAUACCAACACCGUGGGUUGUUUUUUUUUUUUUUUUCUUUUUAGAAAUCAUUCUCACACAUAAUUAGGUAGCUUAAAAAGAAGUUUAAAAAAUGAAAAUGAAAAAGCCAUCUUUAAAAAAAAUAUUUUGCCUACAGAGCGGUUGUAGUUUGAGCAAAUGUUUAAUUUCUGUUUGUUUCUUGUUCAUAAUUUUUUUUUUAAAUAAGGGACAGCGUGCAUUUUUAUGGAACUGUCAUGUUUUGCUUGCUACGAAUGGGAAUUUGCUGAGCAUCUUCUGGGGUUUGUGCAGUGACUUCUCUUUGUCGGACAUUUUUUAAUGACAGGUUGGGUCUGCGCCCAGCUCUGCAGUUUUAAUAUCAUCUGCUGGUUUUAGUUACCAACUUUUUUUGUCUUCUUUUAUUUCUCUUUUGUGGUUUUUUUUUUUUUUCCUUCUCCUUUUGGUUUGGGUGUUGCUGUUAGUUGUCCUGCAUGUUGUUGGAAACCGUGCUGAAGACCAGGUCUCGCUUUCAAAGUUGGGGAGAAAGACUCUGGGACUUCUAGGAUCACAUGGAGGGCUCCUUCCCUUCCCCUUGUACGUGGAGUACACACAAAUACACACCCAUAUUAAGAAGAAACAAGAUUUAUUAAAGUUCCAGAGCUGUCCUAUGUGGUUAGCAUUUAAAAAAAACCUUUUUUGUUAACUCUUGAUGUACAGUAGCUGUGCCUAGAGCAACCGAGCAAGCGUCUCCGUCUUGUGCCAAGAGGAAACUUCUUCUGUAGCUGUAACUCACCCGGUAGUAGUUGCAAAGCUUUGCAAAAGUCCUUUUAAUUUUGAAUCUCCCAUCUCUUUUAUGGAGUAUAAGUUUGCAUUCAUUUCUCCUGUGAUAAAGUACUAGCUUAGAGGCUAAUUGUUUGCGUUUUUGAAUGCAGAGCAAGAGUUAGCACCAUCAGCUGGAUCCCGCGCUGUCGCCUUGUGUUCAUUCGCCUUUCUCCUCCUGGCUCGUUGCUUCGCUGAGGCUCUUCCCUUCUCCAGGGGCUCUCCAGGGCUUGGUGUCAGAGCAGGGACUGCUCCUCUAGAGACACGGGUUGCUCUGCUCUUCCUCCAGCGUAUCUUCCUUCAGUUAAUGGAUUGGGAAGGGCCCGUGUGAGGGGAGGGAGAAAAGCCUCAAGUGCUGUGGUGGCUUUCUGAAGUGCUGUGUCACCACAGAUCCCACUGAAGGGGAGCGAGGUGAGGGGACACCAUUUUAUUCAGAAACCUGGACAAGGCUGGAACAGCCAUCUGCCAAAGAUGCAGUGAUAUGCAAAGCUCCCACUUCCUUCUUCCAGAUCUUUCCAGUGAAGACUCUUGUUCUCCUUGCUGGAGCAGAGCGUAGGCUUGUGCAUGGUGUGUGGCUUUACACUGGUUGCUCUUUAAUAGUUGUAUUUUCUUGGUUGGUUUUGAAUGGGGCCUUCAUUUUCAUUGCAGCUACCCAGAACACGCAGUUACCUUAGUGCAUACAGGUGGAUCUCGUGGAGGACAGGGGAAGCUCCUUCUAUCCAGCAGAGGAAGAAUCGGGCCAUUGAUUUUGGUUGCAUUUCAGAGGUUCAGUUGUUAAAGAUCAUUGUUAUCUGGAGUCUCCCUUCAAAAAUCUGUUUGCUGGGAGAAGCAAGUACAGUGUGAGAAGUUAUCUGCAUCAAAGUGGCACUGCAGGGCUUGGACUGGUACCCAUUUACACAUCUCAGUAGCUUGCUGGAGCUGGGUGAUGUUGAGAUCCGGAGUGAAGCCAUGGAAGGUGGUGCUGUGCUGCCCACCUUGGGUAGCACUUGGUUCUUGUCCUGGAACAUCGCUUUGUCCCAGAUUAGUUCCUCCUCUCGGCACUCAGCGUAGGGAAUGACUUGCACCACUGGAGAGUAGCAUGGGCGAGCAGAUUCUUUCUUGGUUUCCUCCUUUCUGAACAGGUGGCUUACGUGACAAGUUCUGAAGGCAUGAACCUGACCAUCACCUCUUGCAGUGCUGCUGCUUCCCUUCUGAAGGCAUCCAUAACACCAGAGGCUGCGCUUUGUCCAACUGAAAAAGCGAUUCCUUAUCUUUAGUAGCUCUUUUUAUCAGCUGUCUAGUGGAAGGGGGAGAAAUGAAGAUCUGAGUUUGUUUAGCUGGUGCUGCAACCUUUGCUGUGUGUCAGCUGGGGCAUCUGGGAGACCCUUGGAGACCUGCACGCUGCCUUUCUCCUGCUCCUCCACGUGUGCUCCUCCCGGCUAUAACGGCUGCCCCAUUCGUGUUCCUGUGCUGCUCCUGAGGCUGAAUUUUCCUUUUCUUGAGAAAAAAAAACCAAACCAACUUGCAUGCACCCCAACUAGUCGUGUGCUUUCCCACUCAGAAGGCACUUUGUUCUGUGCAGACUUGAAUUCUCUCUCCUCUAGAGUGUUUUCAGUCUGGAGUCCUUGUCAUGAAGGGUCACUUACUCCAGGGUGUGCAGAAGGGCAGGGCCAGAGCCCAGUUGCUGCUGAAAAUCCUGCACCCUCUCGCUGCUCCCGUCGCCUCUUCCCCGGGGAGCCCAGCCCAAGUGCUCCCUUCUGGGAACGAUCUCUGCCAACGACCACGUGGAGCUCUGGAUGCUCUGAGGGUCUGGGGAGUGGAGCCCUGGCUGUGACAGUAGGAGAAUGUUUAAAUUCAUGGCUGCUCUACCUCCGGUUUUCCCUCGAGUUAAAAACUGUUUCAGUGAGGCCAAAGGUGGUUUUAUCUCCUCUGGUUCCUUGGAGCUUAGCGCUGCAGCCGGCCCUCAAAUUGCUCUUGCUGUCAGGUUUCCAGCUUUUAAAUAGGGGGAUUUGAGAUGUGUUCAGCAAAGCUCUUUCCAGGUGACUUCAGGGCACGGUGAUUGGACUGGUUUCCACUGGGCUGAUGCGUUCAGACUCUCGGGGUUUUAACAUCAGAGCCAUGAAACAAAUAGCCUGGUUUUUCAGAAGUGCUGAAUGCCAAAGAUUUUGGUGAGCAUGAGGUGUGUGUGGGAGCUCGGGUGACCUGGUCGAGGUGAGUUAGGCAGGCAGAACUCAGCCCUGUUGGAAACGGGAGGAAAUCCUUACUGGGAUGAGACUGGUGAACCAGUAAAGAGGCUGUUACCCCAGUGAGGCUGGUGUUCCUGACUGGGGGAGGGAUGGGGCUGGUAUGGGAGGGUGCAGGGAUGGAGAGGCUGCAACUGGCUCCAGAUUGAUGAACACCCAUCUGUCGUGAGGUCCUGAGGAGGAGGGAAAGAGAGAUCUUCCUUACCCCCCCACCCCUCCAAAAGGAAAAAGAUAAGAUGGAACAUCUCUGAGGGUCUCUGAAUGGAUUGUGAGCUGCUUGGGAUGGCUCUUAUUGCUAAUACGAGUUGAGCAGUGGCAGCCCAGGCCCCCCCUCUCCCAGCCUGGGCAAACUGGAGGGUGAAAUCCCCAAGGUUACCCCCAAACAGGUAACGCUGGCUGGGGGGAGAGCCAGAAUCCGCUGCCCCCAUCUCAGGAGGAUUGGUUUCAGAGCCCUGCAAGGGUUUGGAAGAUGUGGGUCCCCCCCAGCAAGGGGCAAAGCCGCAUGGGCAGAGAGAGCCCGGGCAGGAGGGCAGCCGGGGGCUGCAGGGUUAGGAAAUGCACGCUGUCCCACCUCUGGGUUUCUGUUGUGUGUUUUAAUAUUAUUUUUUUUUUUUCCGUGUGUGAGUGCGUGGGUGGUUCUGCAGCCUGUCUGUUCUCUCCAGGGGGAGUGCAUGUGUAGAACAGGAUGGUGUGUUGCCUCAUUGAGUCUGGGAGAAGUCCUAUGAUAGCACAUUGGGGGUAAAAAUAAAGGAAGCUUUUUCCUUAAUGUAUAAAUGAAUAUUUGUAUGAUUAAAUUAACACAGAAAAAAAAA